AGUGAACGCUGGCGGUAGGCCUAACACAUGCAAGUCGAACGGCCGCACAGUAAGCGCUUGCUCUUACGGGUGGCGAGUGGCGGACGGGUGAGGAAUACAUCGGCAUCUACUUUUUCGUGGGGGAUAACGUGGGGAAACUUCUGCUAAUACCGCAUACGACCUACGGGUGAAAGCAAGGGAUCUUCGCACCUUGCCCGUUUGAAUUAGACGAUGUCGGAUUAGCUAGUUGGCGGGGUAAGGGCCCACCAAGGCGACGAGCCGUAGCUGGUCUGAGAGGAUGAUCAGCCACACUGGAACGGAAACACGUCCCAGACUCCUAGGGGAGGCAGCAGUGGGGAUUAUUGGACAAGGGGGGCAGGCCUAAGCCAGCCAUACCGCUUGGGUGAGGAAGGCCUUCGGGUGGAAAAGCCUGUUUGUUGGGAAAGAAAAGCAGCAGGGUAACACCCCGCUGUUCUGACGGUACCCAAAAAAUAGGCACCGGCUAACUUCGUG
rnacentral:rRNA from 1 species